rnacentral:piRNA from 2 species
UAAGAUCAAGUGCACUAAAUAUUCUCGC